rnacentral:rRNA from 1 species
AUUGAACGCUGGCGGCAGGCCUAACACAUGCAAGUCGAGCGGAGCGGCGGACGGGUGAGUAAUGACUAGGAAUCUGCCUGGUAGUGGGGGAUAACGUCCGGAAACGGGCGCUAAUACCACAUCCUAUCAGAUGAGCCUAGGUCGGAUUAGCUAGUUGGUGGGGUAAAGGCCUACCAAGGCGACGAACAGUAACUGGUCGGAGAGGAUGAUCAGUCAAAAGGGAACUAAGACACGGUCCAGACUCCUACGGUAGGCAGCAGUGGGGAAUAUUGGACAAUGGGCGAAAGCCUGAUCACGCCAUGCCGCGUGUGUUAAGAAGGUCUUCGGAUUUUAAAGCACUUUAAGUUGGGAGGCGUUACCAACAGAAUAAGCACCGGCUAACUUCGUGCCAGCAGCCGCGGUAAUAC